AGGACGAACGCUGGCGGCGUGCUUAACACAUGCAAGUCGAACGGUAAGGCCCCUUCGGGGGUACACGAGUGGCGAACGGGUGAGUAACACGUGAGCAACCUGCCCUUGACUCUGGAAUAACAGCUGGAAACAGCUGCUAAUACCGGAUAUGACCGCAUGCGACAUCGCAUACGGUGGAAAGCCCUGGCGGUCAAGGAUGGGCUCGCGGCCUAUCAGCUAGUUGGUGAGGUAACGGCUCACCAAGGCUUCGACGGGUA
rnacentral:rRNA from 1 species